rnacentral:rRNA from 1 species
AUUGAACGCUGGCGGCAUGCUUUACACAUGCAAGUCGAACGGCAGCGCGGGCUUCGGCCUGGCGGCGAGUGGCGAACGGGUGAGUAAUACAUCGGAACGUGCCCAGUAGUGGGGGAUAGCUCGGCGAAAGCCGGAUUAAUACCGCAUACGACCUGAGGGUGAAAGCGGGGGAUCUUCGGACCUCGCGCUAUUGUAGCGGCCGAUGGCAGAUUAGCUAGUUGGUGGGGUAAGGGCCUACCAAGGCGACGAUCUGUAGCUGGUCUGAGAGGACGACCAGCCACACUGGGACUGAGACACGGCCCAGACUCCUGCGGGAGGCAGCAGUGGGGAAUGUUGGACAAUGGGCGAAAGCUUGAUCCAGCAAGGCCGCGUGUGGGAUGAAGGCCUUCGGGUUGUAAAGCACUUUUGGCGGGAACGAAAAGGACUGUGCCAAUACCACGGUUCGAUGACGGUACCCGCAGAAGAAGCACCGGCUAACUACGUG